UUCAGAACUACACAGCGCAUCAGAACUUCAGUUACCUCAGGAACAAUCAUGCCACGCUGACUGGUUGCUAGGUAACACCUUCUACACCACAACUGCCCUCUUGGCUGGAUGUCUAGCAGUCAAUAGAGUUAACCCAUAGGUUACUAACAGAAUGAUCCCUGCUGUUGCUCUUCUAACAUACUGAGCCUGGGAUAACAAUUGCUCUAGUAAUAGGAAUCAAUAUAUUUUCAAAUAUUACAAACUCUAGAUUCUGGGAUUUUUCUUUCUUUCUCUUCCUUACAAGUUUCCAUGCCCUCUUUUUCCAGCAGCAUCAGGGGAGAUAAGCAAGCAAGCAGACCAACCGAAAGCAGGAUAAGCAAAAGAUGUUCCUGCCUACAUCAUCAGAACCCUCCCUGGCAUGAGAGCAGCCAGUGGCAAUGGUAGCGAGGAUGACACAACUAUCUGACCUCUCUCUACCAAGCUUUCCAUUACGAUCAGCAUCAUCAGGACUCCCUCAACCUCACUGUCUAAUGA